rnacentral:rRNA from 1 species
AUUGAACGCUGGCGGCAUGCCUUACACAUGCAAGUCGAACGGCAGCACGGGUGCUUGCACCUGGUGGCGAGUGGCGAACGGGUGAGUAAUACAUCGGAACGUACCUUAUCGUGGGGGAUAACGCAGCGAAAGUUGCGCUAAUACCGCAUACGCCCUGAGGGGGAAAGCGGGGGACCGUAAGGCCUCGCGCGAUUAGAGCGGCCGAUGUCUGAUUAGCUUGUUGGGGAGGUAAAAGCUCACCAAGGCGAUGAUCAGUAGCUGAUCGGAGAGGAAGAUCAGCCACACUGGGACUGAGACACGUCCCAGACUCCUACGGGAGGCAUCAUUGGGGAAUUGUGGACAAUGGGGGCAACCCUGAUCCAGCAAUGCCGCGUGAGUGAAGAAGGCCUUCGGGUUGUAAAGCGCUUUUGUAAGGGAAGAAACAGCAGAUCGAACACAGUCUGCGAAUGACGGUACCUGAAGAAUAAGCACCGGCUAACUACGUGCCAGCAGCCGCGGUAA